GCAAACAAUCUGGACGUCACACCAUUUGAAAGUUAAUAAAAACAUAGUAAGUGUCGCAAAAUUAUCAAAUCAACAUUUGAAACCAGAAUUGUCACUCCGAAUUAGUAACAUUUCGCACAGAAUGGAAAGGGAAGGUUUAUUUGUGUCUCUCCAGCUUGUCAGGAAAUCGAAUAAUUCACCUUUGAUGUAUUGCCAUAGGAGGAGGAAAGCUCCGGGAUCUACAGACUGACAAGUACUGCACAGGGGAACCCACUGCGUCAGGCGGCAUAAUGACGAGAGGGAUCGAAGGGGUAUGGCGUUGCUCAUGCUCCUACCUUCAGAAAAAGAAACGUCACUCGGCGGAGAUAUGCUGUAACCUCAAUGCAUUUAUGUGGAGAUUGGAGGGCAUUCAGAGGUCAUGAGAACCCAAGCAAAUGCGUUAAAAGCGUCUCAACACUCAAAUGCCCAAGGAAUUGGGGGGGGCAUUUUCAGGUUUUUUUGAUGAGUUUAUUUUAUCAUCCGGUGGUGAUUUUGGUACCAUUAGUUGGUAUUUGGCCAACAGAGAGAAAUUUCAUCCUAAUCUCAUUCUAUGGAAGAGUUCAGAGACCUGUUUUGGAAACUACAGGUAGUGCUAUGACAGUGGAGGCUAGUGAGGCAUCUAUAUUACAUUCUUGUUUAAAGGAAAGUUAUUCUCUAUGUCCUGAGUGAUAAGAGGCUGAUGAAAAAAAUGUUGAGAUUUAUUUGAUAAUCGUAGGACUUAAAUGGGUUGCCAGGUUGGUAACUUGGAAGAAUUUGCUCUUUAUGAUUUAGCUCAAGAAGACAUGCUUUCAAUGAAUGCUUUCAUGCUCUCAAAACAUCCUGUCAAAAGACCUCGCUGAAAUUAAUGGCUCAGAACUGAUGCUCAGCUUUCAAGGAUGCCGCGGUGAUUUAUUGAGUGGUGCCAGUCUCCGACUUCAUUGGGUGGAGAGCACUUGUCUUCAUGUAACAGGGCUAAUAUUACUUCAAGCUGUUGUCAGUUGACUUGGUAAAAUUGCUUAGAUACACUCCCCAUGUAGUUAGCUGGUGAUGAUUACCCUUAAGUAUUCACAGAGCAGAAUCCCUGGGGAAACACUAAUUAGCCACCCACAAGGAAGAUGUUCCAGCCACGGAAACAAUCUCCUGAAGUCUCCGGGCUGUAAUGAGGACCAAGCCCCAGUGACAAGUCCUGCUCUGUGUUGUGCCGCUGCAUCAAGGUUCAGCAAUUUUCAAGGAGAACAUGAUUGGAGUCAGGCCCAGGGCUGCACGGAAUCCACUAAUCACCGUUCAGAGACUUCGGGUCCCUGGAAUCCACAGGGGGGAAUUGGCUCUUAGAAUUAAAGGAGACACUGUUGUACGUUGUUGAGAAGUGGAGCAAUCUGUUUAAAUAUUUAUCUAUUUAGUGUAUAUUGGGUUACUUUUGGUCUUUGCAUAAUUGAUUCCUUGUUCUUUCUUCUGAUUAAUUUAAAAAAAAAAAAGAAAAACCGAUGAAUAAAAAACCUGUAUUUUCAAACCCA
rnacentral:lncRNA from 1 species